ACCCUACGGGGGGCAGCAGUGGGGAAUUUUGGACAAUGGGGGCAACCCUGAUCCAGCCAUUCCGCGUGAGUGAAGAAGGCCUUCGGGUUGUAAAGCUCUUUCGGCAGGAACGAAACGGCGAGCUCUAACAUAGCUUGCUAAUGACGGUACCUGAAGAAGAAGCACCGGCUAACUACGUGCCAGCAGCCGCGGUAAUACGUAGGGUGCGAGCGUUAAUCGGAAUUACUGGGCGUAAAGCGUGCGCAGGCGGGUGGGGAAGACAGAUGUGAAAGCCCCGGGCUCAACCUGGGAACGGCAUUUGUGACUGCAUCGCUGGAGUGCGGCAGAGGGGGAUGGAAUUCCGCGUGUAGCAGUGAAAUGCGUAGAUAUGCGGAGGAACACCGAUGGCGAAGGCAAUCCCCUGGGCCUGCACUGACGCUCAUGCACGAAAGCGUGGGGAGCAAACAGGAUUAGAUACCCUAGUAGUCC
rnacentral:rRNA from 1 species